AAGUCAGCUCAAAGCAGACACGGAGAAAUCGGGAGAUCGGAAUUAACGGAGCCAAAA
rnacentral:sRNA from 1 species